rnacentral:rRNA from 1 species
CCUACGGAGAGCAGCAGUGGGGAAUAUUGGACAAUGGGCGAAAGCCUGAUCCAGCCAUGCCGCGUGUGUGAAGAAGGCCUUCGGGUUGUAAAGCACUUUCAGUGGGGAAGAAAGCCUUGGGGCUAAUACCCUCGAGGAAGGACAUCACCCACAGAAGAAGCACCGGCUAACUCCGUGCCAGCAGCCGCGGUAAUACGGAGGGUGCGAGCGUUAAUCGGAAUUACUGGGCGUAAAGCGCGCGUAGGCGGUCUGAUAAGCCGGUUGUGAAAGCCCCGGGCUCAACCUGGGAACGGCAUCCGGAACUGUCAGACUAGAGUGCAGGAGAGGAAGGUAGAAUUCCCGGUGUAGCGGUGAAAUGCGUAGAGAUCGGGAGGAAUACCAGUGGCGAAGGCGGCCUUCUGGACUGACACUGACGCUGAGGUGCGAAAGCGUGGGUAGCAAACAGGAUUAGAUACCCCAGUAGUC